CUCGCCCUUUCCAACAUGUGAAAACACAGCAGGAAGUUGGCAGUCUGCAAACCGGAAGAGGGCUUUCAGAGAACCUGACCAUGCCUGUGCCAUGACCUUGGACUUCCAGCCUCUAGAGCUGGGAGCAGUGCAGAAAGCAGGAGUUGAAACGUCCAUCAGAAAAUUCCUCACUCUACUAGGACAGUCCCCGGCCCCCAGGAUCCCUGACCCCGCGUGACACUUCCAGCUGCGGGAAGAAUUUCUGUC
rnacentral:lncRNA from 1 species